ACAAAGGAUAUAGCUAUCACUUGUAAAUACAAUUCUCAUUCAAGAACAACGAAAACAGCUCCUGUGGCCUCUGUUAAUUAAUAGAUGGCAGCAAGCUUUGUAUCAAGGACUGAAAUGUUUCCUCCUAAUGCAGGGUUUGUUGUUAUUAUUGUUUCUCCUCCUGGCAGUAGAGGGCUUAUUAUAGCGGGAAAGCAACUGAGGUAGAAUCACUGUAAUUAAAAAGACAUUUCAUGAAACACGAAGCAGCAACAGGAAGACUGUCCUCUUUUGUGUCAGCUAAAUGUGAAACUACUUUGGCCUAAAGCGUCUGAGGGGCUGGUGGUGUGGGUCCAAGUGUGUGUGGUGUGCCAGCUACAAUGGUGACUUAAAAAGAGAUUUAUGCAGCAGAGAGUUCAAGGAUCUAUGGGAGAAAGAAGGCAAAAAUAACCGGUGACCUUUAAAGGAGCUGGUUAUAGAGGCAGCCCAUGCAGAGUCCCCGAUGCUACUCAGGGUGCUACCCCUGUACAUUGUCUUCUGCAGUACGAGCUGACAAGCAGACAAAUACUAAAAAAGCAAUUCAAGUGCCUAUGGAUGGACAUCUGGCUCUUUUUGAGUCACUCAAGGACAUUCUGCCUGGCCUCCAGCUGCUGUUCCAAAAGGACACAAAAACCCCUCACUGCAGUGCCACAUCUGUCUGCCUUGUGGAGACCUCAGAGAUAGCUCUGGAUGUUUUCAGUGACAUUAGACAUCCACAUUUUUAUGCCUGAACUCUCCCCUUACUCUAAAAAACAAAUGACAAGGAAAAUGGUUUUGAUUAGCUCUGAGAAAAAUAAAAUCUAUACUUGGAGAAGUAGAAAUCAGCCCUUCUAAUAACUUCCAGAUGCUGGAACAAAAUCCAUGAGGUGACAGCAAAAUGUAGUGCAGAAAUUAGUUGUAUGUUGUUUCUUAAAAUAAAAUCUCUCUGGAGUCACUUCAGUGGUUUCAUGGAAAAUCACUUGUAUGAUCCCUGUCUACACAUGUGCUCUUGACUAUUUCCCCCCAAAAGAUUUUAAAACCAGUGUCCCACUCCAGCCACCCUUGACAAAGCAAGACAAACAGAGGCUGAAUAGCAUUACUUUUUAAGCAGUUUAAUAAAAAUAGGGAAUCAUAUAGCCAAACAUGACAUCGUUAAUGCUCUCUGUUGAAGGAAAGAGAGAAAGGAACAGCAUAUGAGACCAAACCUUAUUAAGAAUCGUAGAAGCCACAUGAGAGUUCAACCUUUUAGCUCAUAUUCAUU